AGGGGGGACGGAGAAGGCUAUGUUGGCCGGGCGACGGUUGUCCCGGUUUAAGCGUGUAGGCUGAUUUUCCAGGCAAAUCCGGAAAAUCAAGGCUGAGGCGUGAUGACGAGGCACUACGGUGCUGAAGCAACAAAUGCCCUGCUUCCAGGAAAAGCCUCUAAGCAUCAGGUAACAUCAAAUCGUACCCCAAACCGACACAGGUGGUCAGGUAGAGAAUACCAAGGCGCUUGAGAGAACUCGGGUGAAGGAACUAGGCAAAAUGGUGCCGUAACUUCGGGAGAAGGCACGCUGAUAUGUAGGUGAAGUCCCUCGCGGAUGGAGCUGAAAUCAGUCGAAGAUACCAGCUGGCUGCAACUGUUUAUUAAAAACACAGCACUGU
rnacentral:rRNA from 1 species